rnacentral:lncRNA from 12 species
AUGAGGACGGGGUUUUACAGUCCCUACUUCAUUGUACCCAAGAAAGGCGGUGGGUUACGACCGAUCUUGGAUCUGCGAGUUUUGAACCGGGCCCUUCAUCGGCUACCGUUCAAGAUGUUGACGCAGAAACGCAUCUUCGAGUGCGUCCAUCCCCGAGAUUGGUUUGCAGCGAUCGACCUGAAGGACGCGUACUUUCAUGUGUCGAUCCUUCCGCGCCACAGACCUUUUCUGUGGUUUGCUUUCAAAGGACGGGCAUAUCAGUACAAGGUCCUGCCCUUCGGGCUGUCCCUGUCUCCCCGUGUCUUCACGAAAGUCACGGAGGCGGCUCUUGUUCCCCUCAGAGAGCAGGGUGUUCGUAUUCUCAACUAUCUAGACGAUUGGCUGAUACUAGCACAAUCUCGGGAUCAGUUGUGCGAGCACAGGGACCUGGUGCUCCGGCACCUCAGCCUGUUGGGCCUUUGGGUCAACUGGGAAAAGAGCAAACUCUUGCCAACGCAGAGGAUCUCUUUUCUCGGUAUGGAGUUGGAUUCGGUCAAACAGACAGCACGCCUCACAGAGGAACGUGCGCGGUCGGUGCUAGCCUGCUUGAAUACAUUCAAGAGCAGGACAGCGGUCCCACUGAAACCCUUUCAGAGGCUCCUGGGGCAUAUGGCGGCCGCAGCGGCACUUACACCGCUCGGUCUGUUACAUAUGAGACCGCUCCAGCACUGGCUUUAUGGCCGAGUUCCAAGGUGGGUGUGGAAGCACGGCACUCACCGGGUCCAAGUUACACCGGCCUGUCGCCAAACCUUCACCCCGUUGGCCAGAUCUUGCAUUUCUCAGGGCAGGGGUGCCCCUAGAGCAGAUCUCCAGGCAUGCUGUGGUUUACACGGAUGCCUCCACCACCAGCUGGGGGGCCACGUACAACGGGCAUGCAGUCUCAGGGGCUUGGACUGGCCCGCAGCUGCAGUGGCACAUCAAUUGCCUAGAGUUGUUAGCAGUGCACUUUGCCUUGAACCGUCUCAAAGGUCACUUACGAGGCAAGCAUGUGCUGGUCCGAACGGACAACACGGCGACCAAAGCGUACAUCAACCGACAAGGUGGUCUGUGCUCUCGUCGCAUGUCACAACUCGCCCGCCACCUCCUCCUUUGGAGUCGGAAGGUUCUGAGGUCUCUUUGUGCCGUUCAAAUUCCAGGCCUGCUCAACCGUACAGCCGACGAGCUGUCUCGAGCAAGGCUCCCGGGAGAAUGGCGACUCCAUCCCCUGACGGUCCAGCUGAUUUGGAGACGGUUCGGAGCCGCUCAGGUAGACCUGUUUGCGUCUCCAGAGACCGCUCACUGCCAGUUGUUCUACUCCCUGACCGAGGGAACUCUCGGCACGGACGCACUGGCACACAGCUGGCCGCGGGGCCUACGCAAGUAUGCGUUUCCCCCAGUGAGCCUUCUUGCACAGACACUGUGCAAAGUCCGGGAGGACGAGGAGCAAGUCUUGCUAGUGGCGCCGUAUUGGCCCACGCGGACCUGGUUCCCCGAACUAGUGUUCCUCACGACCGCCCCUCCUUGGCCGAUUCCUCUAAGGAAGGAUCUACUGACUCAGAGACGGGGCACCAUUUGGCACCCGCGUCCAGACCUUUGGAAACUCCAUGUCUGGUCCCUGGACGGGAC